AGCGAGCAGCUCAGAUAUUUAAUGCUUUUCCGGUUGGCAGUUACAUGUGUUGGCCGUAAUGAAUAUAACUACAGACUACACAGUUUCUGAGCUCAAUCAAUUUGGGUAGUUUUUGGCUCGCCAGUCGUCCAAGCGAUUCAAAAACUGGUUUCUAUGCACAACUUUAAG